rnacentral:lncRNA from 1 species
CCGAGCGCCGGCUGCGCCCCCCAGCCCGGCCCGGGGCCUACCGCCUGCCCGGCCCCCUGCCACUGCCAGGAGGACGGCAUCAUGCUGUCUGCCGACUGCUCUUGAGCUUGGGCUGUCCGCCAUACCGGGGGACCUGGAUCCCCUGACGGCUUACCUGUUGAAGGUCUAAUUGAUACGUUUGACUUAUGAUGACCGUUUAUGCACUUUCAAAUGAAUUUGCUUUCAAAAUAAAUGAAGAGCAGCUGUCCUUCUUUCCUCUUUUAAGUGUUCAGCUGUGGCAUGCUCAGAGGUUCCUGCUGGAUUCCAGCUGGAGCAGUGUGAUACCCUUCUUUUUCAGCUGUUCGUGCCUUCCUUUCUUGUAUCCACCAAAGUGGAGACAAAAACAUGAUCUCAAAGAUACACAGUACCUACUUAAUUCCAGCUGAUGGGAGACCAAAGAAUUUGCAAGUGGAUGGUUUGGUAUCACUGUAAAUAAAAAGAGGGCCUGGGAAUUCUUGCGAUUCCAAAAAAAAAAAAAAAAGAAAAACAUCAUGAAAUUGCAUAUUAGAAAUGAAAUCUUGUAUUCCAAGCACAACAUGAGAAAGCAGCAAGAAUCUAUGGCAAAAGCUGUUCUUGUUCACAGCUGCUGGAGUUAUGAGCAAUAGCCUUUCAGCAUAGCUCUCAAGGAUCCAAGCGGUCUGAAUAAUUAAACCUGGGUCCCCACACGGCCCGGCGUUUCUCUACAUGCAGGUGCCAUUUCUGGGUCAAAUGUGAAACAGCCCUGCUGGAGAAACCCGGAGAAUGACUUGGCUGCCCUCUCUGCAGGCGUCUGGAACCAAGUGGUGGUUUGGAAC